AUAUAUGUAUAGAGAGAGAGGAAGAGAUCAACUGUCGGUUGUCGGCGGUUUGCGCUUCGGUGGCGGCUCAGGCUUUGGUUCGGGUUUGGGUUCUGGUUUAGGCAUCGGUUCAGGCUUGGGCUCGGGUUUUGGUUCAGGUUUAGGCAUGGGCUUAGGCAUGGGCUCAGGCUUUGGUUCUGGUUUAGGCAUUGGCUUAGGCUUGGGUUCGGGUUUUGGCUCUGGUUUGGGCAUUGGCUCAGGCUUGGGUUCUGGUUUAGGCAUGGGCUCAGGCUUUGGUUCCGGUUUAAUUGGCUCAGGCUUCGGUUCCGGCUUAGGCAUUGGCUCGGGCUUGGGCUCAGGUUUUGGCUCAGGUUUAGGCAUUGGCUCGGGUUUGGGCUCAGGUUUAGGCUCAGGUUUAGGCACUGGCUCAGGCUUAGGCUCGGGUUUAGGCUCAGGUUUAGGCACUGGCUUAGGCAUGGGCUCGGGUUUUGGUUCCGGUUUAGGCAUUGGCUCAGGUUUGGGCUCGGGUUUAGGCUCGGGUUUAGGCAUUGGCUUAGGCAUGGGCUCGGGUUUUGGUUCCGGUUUGGGCAUGGGCUCUGGUUUUGGCUCGGGUUUUGGCAUUGGCUUAGGCAUGGGCUCUG
rnacentral:lncRNA from 1 species